UAGGGAAUCUUCCACAAUGGACGCAAGUCUGAUGGAGCAACGCCGCGUGAGUGAAGAAGGUUUUCGGACCGUAAAGCUCUGUUGUUGGUGAAGAAGGAUAGAGGUAGUAACUGGCCUUUAUUUGACGGUAAUCAACCAGAAAGUCACGGCUAACUACGUGCCAGCAGCCGCGGUAAUCGUAGGUGGCAAGCGUUGUCCGGAUUUAUUGGGCGUAAAGCGAGCGCAGGCGGAAGAAUAAGUCUGAUGUGAAAGCCCUCGGCUUAACCGAGGAAUUGCAUCGGAAACUGUUUUCUUGAGUGCAGAAGAGGAGAGUAGAACUCCAUGUGUAGCGGUGGAAUGCGUAGAUAUAUGGAAGAAUACCAGUGGCGAAGGCGGCUCUCUGGUCUGCAAACUGACGCUGAGGCUCGAAAGCAUGGGUAGCGAACAGGAUUAGAUACCCUGGUAG
rnacentral:rRNA from 1 species